rnacentral:rRNA from 1 species
GAUGAACGCUGGCGGUGUGCCUUAAGCAUGCAAGUCGAACGGGUUUGGAGCAAUCCAGACCAGUGGCAGACGGGUGAGUAACGCGUAGGAAUCUACCUUGAAAUGGGGAAUAGCCCCGCGAAAGCGGGGGUAAUACCGCAUGAUAUCGCAAGAUCAAAGGCCUUAACUGGCCGUUUCAAGAGGAGCCUGCGUCCUAUCAGCUAGUUGGUGAGAUAACAGCCCACCAAGGCGAUGACGGGUAGGGGGUGUGAGAGCACGGCCCCCCACAAAGUCACUGAGACAAGGGACUUACUCCUACGGGUGGCUG